rnacentral:rRNA from 1 species
UGGGGAAUAUUGGGCAAUGGGCGCAAGCCUGACCCAGCCAUGCCGCGUGAGUGACGAAGGCCUUAGGGUUGUAAAGCUCUUUUGGCGGGGACGAUAAUGACGGUACCCGCAGAAUAAGCCCCGGCUAACUUCGUGCCAGCAGCCGCGGUAAUACGUAGGGUGCGAGCGUUAAUCGGAAUUACUGGGCGUAAAGCGUGCGCAGGCGGGUUUGUAAGACAGAUGUGAAAUCCCCGGGCUUAACCUGGGAACUGCGUGUGUGACUGCAAGGCUGGAGUACGGCAGAGGGGGGUGGAAUUCCACGUGUAGCAGUGAAAUGCGUAGAGAUGUGGAGGAACACCGAUGGCGAAGGCAGCCCCCUGGGCCUGUACUGACGCUCAUGCACGAAAGCGUGGGGAGCAAACA